rnacentral:tRNA from 1 species
ACCUGGCUGGCUCAGUCAGUGGAGCAUGCAACUCUUGAUCUCAGGGUUGUGGGUUCAAGACCCACACUGGGUA